CCCUUAGAUGUUCGGGGCCGCACGCGCGCUACACUGAAGGAAUCAGCACGUCUUUCUCCUUGUCCGAAAGGACUGGGUAACCCGCUGAACCUCCUUCGUGCUAGGGAUUGGGGCUUGUAAUUCUUCCCCAUGAACGAGGAAUUCCCAGUAAGCGCGAGUCAUAAGCUCGCGUUGAUUACGUCCCUGCCCUUUGUACACACCGCCCGUCGCUACUACCGAUUGGAUGGUUUAGUGAGAUCCUCGGAUUGGCCCCGGCGCGGCCUCUGGUCGUGCCGGAGUGCCGAAAAGAAUGUCGAACUUGAUCAUCUAGAGGAAGUAAAAGUCGUAACA
rnacentral:rRNA from 1 species